rnacentral:rRNA from 1 species
UACGGGGGGGGCAAGCGUUGUUCGGAAUUACUGGGCGUAAAGGGCUCGUAGGCGGCCAACUAAGUCAGACGUGAAAUCCCCAGGCUCAACCUGGGAACUGCGUCUGAUACUGGAUGGCUUGAAUUCGGGAGAGGGAUGCAGAAUUCCAGGUGUAGCGGUGAAAUGCGUAGAUAUCUGGAGGAAUACCGGUGGCGAAGGCGGCAUCCUGGACCGACAUUGACGCUGAUGAGCGAAAGCUAGGGGAUCAAACGGG